GGACAAAUAUUGCCUUUAUUUAUCGGCAACAAAGCAUGUUUGACAACUGCAGAAAAUGCUAAAGCUGAAAGAGAAUGACAAUAAGUUGAACUGUCUAAUCAGCAUUGGAAUCAGAAACUUGAUUAAAGCCAUGUUUUGGCUUAGCAUCAGUGGACAUUUUAGAAGCAGCUUGAGUAGCAAAAGCAAGUGGAGCAUCAGAUACUGAGAGAGUGAUGCCAAUGGCACGUUGCUUCUCAUGUUGAAUUACUUGGUAAAACACCUUGAUAAUUGGAGGAAUGUGAUACCAAGAAGGAUAAUUCCUACGAUUUGUGAGAAAUAUUCACGAAGACCCAUCAAGAAAAGCAUCAUAUACUUGGUAUACUUGUAAUGAAGAAGUCGUCUGAUUCCCCUCAGGUGCAAGAAUGGUUGCGUUGCCUUUCUUAUGCCACAUAGGAAGAUGAACAAAGAGAGAAGGAGAAUUGAUUCUCUUGAUAAAAUGAAGUUAAAAUACAAUUAUAUAGUGUAUAUAUAAGAAAUAGAGAAGUAUAGGAAAAGAGAGAGAAAAC
rnacentral:lncRNA from 1 species